rnacentral:rRNA from 1 species
GACGAACGCUGGCGGCGUGCUUAACACAUGCAAGUCGAGCGGUAAGGCCCUUUCGGGGGUACGACGAGCGGCGAACGGGUGAGUAACACGUGGGUGACCUGCCCUUAGCUCUGGGAGUAAGCCUGGGAAACGUGGGUCUAAUACCGGAUAUGACUCCAUGACGCAUGUUGUGGGGUGGAAAGCCUUGUGCGGCUAGGGAUGGGCCCGCGGCCUAUCAGCUUGUU